UUUUUUUUCUUUCUUUUCUUUUCUUUUCUUUUUGCAGCUGCACCUGUGGCAUAUGGAGGUUCCCAGGCUAGGGAUGUAAUCGGAGCUGCAGCUGCCAACCUAUGCCACAGCCACACAGGAUCCGAGCCACAUCUGCAACCUAUGCCACAGCUUUGUGGGCAACACCAGAUUCUUAACCCACUGAGCAACCAGAGAUUGAACCCACAUCCUCAUGGAUAUUAUGUUGGGUUCUUAACCUGCUGAGCCACAACAGGAACUCUGAUAACAAAUUAAUUCCUUUAAUGUAAAAGAAAAAACCCAUCUUACUGUUGAUUCAAAAUCAAUGAGUGAAGAAGCAAAAUGAUCUAAGAUAGGAUGUGUUUAAUUACCUAAAGGGUUUCCUUUGCCUUGAGAUAGGAUAUUCCCUUGUCUAUACACAUACAUCGACUGAUGUCACAGACAAAUCAAUGAGGUCCUUCAUCAUCAAAGUAAAAUAUAACACUCAGUUUAAUCUAUUCACUAAAAGAUAAUUACGUGAAAUAAAGCGACAAUAGGAUUGAUUUCUGAUUUGUAUUAGAAUAGGUUUUCAUUCCUUCUGCUGUGUUCUCCCAAGCUUGCUAGUGAAGAUAUGGCAGAUGCAGAUGUUAAAUAAUAGAUUAUUCAUAAGCUUUUCCAAAAAGCUGUGUGUCAGUCAGGUUAAACCUGUAUUCCCAAAUCACCCUGAGGCUUUCAGAAAACAGGAGGUAAGGAAACACCUGUUGAGAUGGCAAACACCUGUGAGACUUGGCUCCCCAGCCUCAGUGUCCCUGUCUGUGAAGUGAGCUAUGAGACACAGCCUCCAGUGGCCCUGCCUAGGUGACCAGUGGCAUUUCCUUCCUUAAGGCCUGAAGGUUCAUCUCAUCAUGAACAGCAAGGUUUACUGGUCAGCCAGGUUAGCCAGAGGACACAACGCCAACAAGUCACUGCCAGCCUCCAUGACAGCCAGUCCACCUGGUCCUCUAGUUCACUGCACAGGUGUGAUUGAAAUAAAAAGGAAACUGACCACUUUCAUAGGUUACAAUACACGCUGUGAUAGUCUGGGGUUGGUCUGACUGUGCAGAAACUGUCUUAAUGUGAUCACUAGUCAUUUGGUCAGUUAAUUUUUAACUAGGUCAGUUAAAGCAGAAAGCCAUUAUUUAAAGACACAUGUUAAAGAUUCUGUCUCUUUCCUCCUCCUGUGCAUUGUGACACCAUGCCAAGUCCACUUUGAGAGCUGGCCCCCUGCUAUCAUCCUUGGCCAGGCUAAGGUCUUUCCCUGAGUAAGAAUUCCUGCAUAGGAAACUGUGGCCACCUUACUUGCGUAAACCCUAAUAUGCCAAUUCUGAUAUUCAUCCUUAAAUGGAGCUGGAAUACAGAGGCACUCCAGAAGAAAUCUAAGGGCAGAAUGCUUCUAAAUACUUAAACGAAAAUUCCCCUUUUUGCAAUGGACUCUCCCACACUUAAAAUGAUAGUUUAAUUUCAUUGCCUUUUAAGUCUUUCCAAAUAGUUCAAUUUAGUUUUUAUAGAUAUAUUUUCUUUUCCCACUCAUGCCUUAAACACUUAGAUAACAUUUAAUUAAAUUAUAUACUGAUAGUAAAAGUACACCUGGCACAAACGGGUUUGGAAACAAACAUGGCUCAAGUGCACUAUUCAACUGGUAUGAGCCACGUACCUGAGCUUGCUGAGCUAGCAGCUAGUUAAUUACAGGUUAAUAUUUAUUUUUAAGGAGAGGAGGAGGACAAGGAGGAGAGGAGGGAGAGGAGUUAAGAGAGGGAGAAAAACAUAUUUUCCUCCCCCUUCACUGCACACACAGGCAUCCUUCUGCCCCAGUUUAAAUUACUGACAUUUGUAAGUACAAAGCAGACUUCUUUGACCCUCAUCCUUACCAGUGUUUGUAAGGUUACUUGCACAAAACAAACUUCUGGGAGGAGGAAGAACCUCUCACCUGAACCUCCAAAUCCCUCUAACUUAUACCAUCAAUGUCCCAAGUGCCACUUAAACUUUUCUUAGAGGCAACAAAUUUUACAUCAGUAGACCAGACCACUAGUCUCAACUUUGUCACUUAUUAACGGUACACUGCUUUCAUCAUGCAAGCAUGGGGAAAACACAGCCUUGCCCUAUUGGGUUUCCUCAAUUGCUAGAAGAAAAUUGGUGAAAUAUUAGUAUGAGUCCUGCACAAAUAAGACAUGAGAAUUACUUUCUCAAAAUUUCUGACCUAAAUCAAAUUCAAAUACAAUAUGUAAAUUAAAAAAUGAAGCAAUGGGGUACCACACCCCCUUCUUCCCGGCUACACUCAGCUGAUUUUACAUAACCCAGUCAGAAUGGGACCAUUUGCUUUGUUCUCCCAAUCUUUCAGGAAAACUAAAAAUUAGCUCCUCCUUUCUUUCUUCUUCAAUAAUACCAACAAUUCUUACCUACUUGUUCCCAGCCCUUCCUUAGGCAACUGUGCUAUUUGUAAUUGGCCCAGGCUAGCAUUUAAAUCUUCAACAGGUUUUGUAAAACACCCAGCACGCCUGAAACAUGAUUCAGUGACAGCAGUGUGAGUGCAUGUCUGAGCAUGCGUGUGAGUGGUUGGGGCGGGGGGAGACACCUGUGCCUUUUAAGAGUCAGUGCUCUAAGGACUUGUCUUCAGAGACUCUCACAACUGUGGCACAAGAUCUCACAACGAGCGGUCGCUCCUUUCAAGAUGAAGGUACGAAAAGGUCAAACCAAGGGACAAGGUCAAGAAUUAUUUUUUUAAGAAUAGAUAUCAUCUCUUAUUUAUAAAUGUGGUAUUAUUACAAGCACAUGAAAAUAAAAGUAUAUGUAGCAAACAAAACAUCAGUUUUUAAAAUUUAAUUUUACUUUUUGUCUUUUUAGGGCUGCACCUGCAGCACAUGAAAGUUCCAGGCUAGGGGUGCUGCCCUAAAAAGCAAAAAUUAAAUUAAAUUAAAUUAAAUUAAAUUGUGAAAUGACUUCUUUUAAAAUAUGUAAGAUGACUGCACAUGCCUCUAUAUAGUUCAAGGAUACAAAGCUAAAUAGAAAGAGAGAAGCCUAAAAAGCUAUGUAUCAAAACAGCAGAUAGGUAUCUAUAUUUUAGGGAGUUUUAUUUUCUUCUUUUUUGGCAGUACUUAGGAUAAACAUAUAAUAAAGUGGUUUCAAAAUGCUACACUCCAACCUGCAGGCUCCGUCUCACCCAGACAAUGAAUAUGGACUUUAAUCAUGCACAAGCUAUACAAAGACAUCACCAAAACGGAAUGACAAAUUUCAACAGCAGGCAGCCAACUGUCAGGCUGUGUGGACGCCAGAAUAGCAGCAGUGGCUGGAGGUCCUGGAGGUUCUGGAGAUGAGGGUGUUGGGGAAAAGGGCUGCUGAGACCUGGGAAGGCCUCAGGGUUAGAAAAGGAAUUGAGUUAAACUUCCAAAGAUGAGAGUCUGGCUGCCAAUUAAUUCAAUGAAGAGAAUGCAAAGUCCUCAAGGCUACAGCAAAAAUCUGGAUGAAUUGAGUAACAUGCUUAAUUUUUUAAAAGCAGUUUCUUUUUCUAAAGAGUAUAUUGUGAAAGGAGAAUUGGUAUGUUUUAGAAUGCUAGUGAUUCCUAUACAUGUUUUUAACAACACUGUGGCUAGAUAAUAAAAAUUACUGAGUUAUUAUGGACUGUGCCAUGCAGUUCUUCAUGAAUUCAACUGAAUGACUACUAGAGCUCAAAGAGUCUGAUUUUUUGCAGAAGUUUUUACCUGCCUAUCCUUGGCCAAUGGACUUUAGAAACAGGCUAGAUCUUCAUUUCUGAACCAAAAGUUACAGUUUAUUUAAUUGUAAGCUAACUUCAAAUGCUGAGGAACUACUUUUGCACACUGCUGGGAGUACUUCUGAAUGAAACAGUAACCGCUUCAUGAUGCUGAUGAAUUUUUUUAUCCCUCUUUCUCUGGGUCGCACGUUCUACUUUCCAAAGAAUCUCUGACCCCCCGCGGAGAGUAGCUGGGAAGGGAUGAGGGACAGGCUGGGUCAGCCCCACCAAGAGAGCGCAGGCCCCAGAGCAGCUGCGGCUUACACAAUGAUGCUCUUUGGACAUUUCUGGCAAGAGCCAGUAAUUUGGGACAAAUUAAUCUGUGGGCACUUCCCUCUGCACCACAAAUAAUGACAUGGGCCUCCAUUGCAGCAGGGCAGACGCAGGGAGCAGGACGAAAAGCUGGGCGUGCACGUGCUCAAGAGGGGUGAAAGAAGGCCCACAGGCUCCUUAUGAGCCAUAGCCUAUUUGAGGCACCUGAAGGUAGGAAGCAGUGCCGUCAUAACCCACCUGAGUGAGCACGGUGACUGUCCCCACUUUACAGGGAGGAAACUGAGGCAAAGGGGACCGACAACCUGCCCAGGUCAGGGCUAUUGCUCUCGACCCUCCACGCUCAGGGGCACGGUCUGUGAUACACUGUGGCCGUGACUCCACCUCCAUGUCUGAAAAUCAGAAUGAUGGUCUGAUGGGAGACGAGCUCCUCACGACAGUCUUGUUUCAGACAGCCCCUUCCCCACAUCUUCUGUUUGACACAACAUUCUGUCAUUUGUGUCUCCAAAUCUCUAUCUAAUUAAAUAUGUUUCCAUGCACUUGAAGGCAAGUUCUCGUACGAUGCGCUGCCCUGUACUGACCACACAAUGACCAGCAGCCCAGAGGGACCAGGACCUUGCUUCUGGCUAAGCUGUUGAUCAUCCUAAAGACAACAAUAACCGGGUGGAAGAAGGAGGGCAAGUCACACUCCACUGUAUGUCCCCUCCCCCCGCCAAGGAGAAAGGGGUUCCCCUUCCUCUCCCGCACCCCGCAGAGCAGGCAGCCCAGGACCCCACCCCCACACAGCUCCCAAACUACCCAGCAGUAAACAGGCAGCCAAGUGCCUUCCAAAUCAGUAUCUUACUGUGUGAGGUCAACGCAAAAUCUAGCAGGAGCACAACCUCCGAUGACAGUUUUUUGGCUUCAAACAAGCAUCUCCCAAGAAAUGAAAAGCCUAAGCAGCUUUCAGAAGUCUAUAGCCAUUGGCAGGUUCUAGUACUUUUAUCAAAGUCUCGAAAAACUCAAAGCCUCCACUGACAGUUUUUCAUACUUUCAUCAAAGUCCAGAAACAUUCAGGACAUCCUUCAAGAUCCCAGACAGAGCUGCAGCAUCAGUAUCAGACGCCUGGGGAGGCGCACAGAACAAUAACAACAUAACAGAAAGGGGAAAACUGCCAGUCUUACUGGACAGUCAGCCAGAGCUACUUUCCUCCCUGGAUUGUGUCCCAUCCUUCUCUUGCUUCUUCAACAGCUACCAGCAAGCAUCUUGCCCCUCUCACCACCCAGGGAGCAGGCCCAGGGCUUCUGCUCCGAGGGACCAGGUUCCCUAGCCCAGAGCUUCUGCCCCGGGGGACACCGACUGUAGACUCUCCUAGAGGGUGGCUCAGUGCCCACCCCCCUCCCCAAAGACUCACUCAUAUUCUUGAUUACCCUGAGAGGCAUACUGGAUGGUUAACACAACUGUAAAAGCGACUUAGAAUUUAUUAUUUUUUAACAGUAUAAAAUGUAUAUAUUUAAGACUAUAAAAGGUAAUCUGAAUACAAGAUCUUUGUCAUCAUAAUAUUUUUCCAUGAUUAAGUACCAAACCAGAAAGAGCUGACCAGAAAAUAUGUUUUGUAAGAUAUUACCUCCUUAACCUGAUUAUAAAGAAAACUGUCAGAAAGAAAACGCAAGGUCUUUGUAGUCCUUGGGGGGGAAAUGUUUCUGGAAACAAGGAAUGAAGCUAUUUGUUUUUCCUUUUAUUUAUUUUUAACAACGAUACCAGAAUGAAUCCUCUAGCCCAGUUACCUUCAAAGUACUCACCUCAGAAUAUGCUGCAGACUUACAACACACACUACAGAAAUGCUGCCAGUGCUCAAAGCCAUAGGAAAGCUAAGCCCUCUUUCCCAAUUACCCGUGUUGCCCGUG
ensembl:lncRNA